GGACCCGACCGCUAUCGGGGUAGGGCUAAGCCAUGCGAGUCGCGCGCCCGGGGGCGCCCGGGAGCGGCGCACGGCUCAGUAACACGUGCCCAACCUACCCUCGGGAGUGGGACACCCCCGGGAAACUGGGGCCAAUCCCCCAUAGGGGAAGGGCGCUGGAAGGCCCCCUCCCCGAAAGGACGGCGGCCGAUCCGCCGCCGCCCGCCCGAGGAUGGGGGCACGGCCCAUCAGGUAGUUGGCGGGCUAAAGGCCCGCCAAGCCGAAGACGGGUAGGGGCGGUGAGAGCCGCGAGCCCCGAGAUCGGCACUGAGACAAGGGCCGAGGCCCUACGGGGUGCAGCAGGCGCGAAUACUCCGCAAUGCGGGCAACCGCGACGGGGCUACCCCGAGUGCCGGGCGAAGAGCCCGGCUUUUGCCCGGUCUAAAAAGCCGGGAGAAUAAGCGGGGGGCAAGUCUGGUGUCAGCCGCCGCGGUAAUACCAGCUCCGCGAGUGGUCGGGGUGUUUACUGGGCUUAAAGCGCCCGUAGCCGGCCCGGCAAGUCGCUCCUGAAAUCCCAGGGCUCAACCCUGGGGCGGGGGGCGAUACU
rnacentral:rRNA from 1 species